UACAUUUUGCUAAAAUGAACUAAAUGAACGAAAUGACUCGAAAAAAGAUUCGUUCAUUUUGUUGAACGAGACUCAAAAGUCCGAGUCAGUAAAAUGAUCCGAACUUCCCAUCACUAGCGUCAGUCUCUGAGGACGACAGCGCCAGACUGCCGGAAGUGGGCGGAGUAAUAGUCUCACGUCAGACGUGGGCGGAGUUAGCGACAAACAAGCAAACAAUCAUGGCGGAAGAAGAGAAAACGGUAAAAAGUUUCUUUGUUUUGUGUUUUUAAUCGAUCACGUUUAUUUGUUGUGUAUUUAUUUGAUCGUUAACACUUAACAUGACUUAAAUAUUUUGAUAUUUUACCAAUCGUCUCACGCUGCUUGCGCCCCCGUGAGAAAAUACUAUAGUAAUUUGUAGUAAAUACUAGUGUUUUUGAACCAUACUAUAGUACUAUAAGUACUUGAAUUAAUUUAUUGUGGUAACUCUAUAGUUGCUGUGAUAAUAUAACAGCUAUAAUAAUAUAAACAAAUUACUUUACCCAAUAUUGUACUAAGUGUUCUACAAUUUUAUGGUAUAUUAUACUACAAUAUACACUACAGUUUACUGUAGUAAAAACUAAAGUAUACUACAUUAUUUAUAACAGUUUAUCAGUUCACUAUAGUUAAUACUAUAGUAUUCUGUAGCAUUCAUUAGUGUUGUAAAUACUAUAAUACAGUAUACAAAAAAUUACUACUGUAUGGUUCAAAAACACUAUAGUAUUCACUAUAGUAUUUUUUCACCUGGUCACAAGGUUUGUGAUUUUACUUGUUGUUGGUGCUGUAUUUUAUUUAACUGGUUACAUUUUACAAUACUGACCAAUGUUUUUGUGGAUUUUUAGAGGCAUAUUAGUAUUGGGAGAUGCUCCGCUUUACUUCAUUUACAGUUAUGCAAAACGCGCUGCAACAAUUUCCACCGCCCAGUGUUCUUAAACCGACCAGACGGCACAGGUUGAAUGCACAGCUUCAAAUUCACUUCAAAAAGGCUGUUGUCCAUGGAGUAAAUUGACAAGCAGAAUCACCCCAGGACAAUGGAAGCUGAUCAAAAACAAGGAGCCACGGAUCACAGAAGAUGUCUGCACUGCACAACAACCAAAGGUCUUCAAGGGUUUAGUGGAAGAGCUGUGCUUUCUGAUAUUGAAAGAGGAAGACCAGGAAAACACCCUUCUUCAACUUUCACAGGCUGAAAUGAAUGAUGACAGACAACUGGCCAAAGAGCCUUUAGUGUUUUGCUU